rnacentral:misc_RNA from 1 species
AAUUUUUUUUUUUUGUAAAUUAGCAACCAACUUUUCAAUUGCUAAAUUAGUUCUAAAUAGCAACCGAUUUACAAAAUAGUUAUAAAAUUACAAAAUUAAAGACACCAAAAUUUUUGUAAUUGAUUAUGCUUCGGUUGCUAACUCAGUUGCUACCAGUAAUUGAUAGUUUUUUUUAUCAAAAGUUUUAUUUUUUUAAAUUCAAUUAAUUUAGCAACCAAUUUGAUUAACAAUUGCUAUUUGCAACUAAUUUGGCUAUCAAUUGCUAUUUGUAACCAGUAUCAUUGCAAUCGACUGAAUUGCUUGCUAAAUUGAUUAGCAAUCAAUUUUAAUGGAUUAGCAACCGAUUUAGUUGGUUGCU